rnacentral:rRNA from 1 species
UUGAACGCUGGCGGUAUGCUUAACACAUGCAAGUCGAACGGAAACGAUACUAGCUUGCUAGUAGGCGUCGAGUGGCGGACGGGUGAGUAACGCGUAGGAAUCUGCCUGAUAGUGGGGGAUAGCCCGAAGAAAUUCGGAUUAAUACCGCAUAAUCUAUUCGUAGUAAAGUGGGGGACUUUCGAGCCUCACGCUAUCAGAUGAGCCUGCGUAAGAUUAGCUUGUUGGUAGGGUAAAAGCCUACCAAGGCGACGAUCUUUAGCUGGUCUGAGAGGAUGAUCAGCCACAUCGGGACUGAGACACGGCCCGAACUCCUACGGGAGGCAGCAGUGGGGAAUAUUGGACAAUGGGGGCAACCCUGAUCCAGCAAUACCGCGUGUGUGAAGAAGGCCUGAGGGUUGUAAAGCACUUUCAAUUGUGAAGAAAAGUUAGCGGUUAAUAACCGUUAGCCUUGACGUUAACUUUAGAAGAAGCACCGGCUAACUCCGUGCCAGCAGCCGCGGUAAUACGGAGGGUGCAAGCGUUAAUCGGAAUUACUGGGCGUAAAGCGUGCGUAGGCGGUUUAUUAAGUCAGAUGUGAAAGCCCCGGGCUUAACCUGGGAACUGCAUUUGAAACUGGUCAACUAGAGUAUGGUAGAGGAAAGUGGAAUUUCUGGUGUAGCGGUGAAAUGCGUAGAUAUCAGAAGGAACAUCAAUGGCGAAGGCAGCUUUCUGGACCAAUACUGACGCUGAGGUACGAAAGCGUGGGUAGCAAACAGGAUUAGAUACCCUGGUAGUCCACGCCGUAAACGAUGAUAACUAGCCGUUGGGGGGAUUUACCCUUUAGUGGCGAAGCUAACGCGUUAAGUUAUCCGCCUGGGGAGUACGGCCGCAAGGUUAAAACUCAAAGGAAUUGACGGGGACCCGCACAAGCGGUGGAGCAUGUGGUUUAAUUCGAUGCAACGCGAAGAACCUUACCUGGUCUUGACAUCCUGCGAACUUUCUAGAAAUAGAUUGGUGCCUUCGGGAACGCAGUGACAGGUGCUGCAUGGCUGUCGUCAGCUCGUGUCGUGAGAUGUUGGGUUAAGUCCCGUAACGAGCGCAACCCCUAUCCUUAUUUGCCAGCACAUCAUGGUGGGAACUAUAAGGAGACUGCCGGUGAUAAACCGGAGGAAGGCGGGGACGACGUCAAGUCAUCAUGGCCCUUACGACCAGGGCUACACACGUGCUACAAUGGGAAGGACAAAGAGCCGCGAAGCCGCGAGGUGUAGCUAAUCUCAUAAACCUUUUCGUAGUCCGGAUUGGAGUCUGCAACUCGACUCCAUGAAGUCGGAAUCGCUAGUAAUCGUAGAUCAGAAUGCUACGGUGAAUACGUUCCCGGGUCUUGUACUCACCGC